CUACGGGGCGCAGCAGUGGGGAAUAUUGCACAAUGGGCGCAAGCCUGAUGCAGCCAUGCCGCGUGUAUGAAGAAGGCCUUCGGGUUGUAAAGUACUUUCAGCGGGGAGGAAGGGAGUAAAGUUAAUACCUUUGCUCAUUGACGUUACCCGCAGAAGAAGCACCGGCUAACUCCGUGCCAGCAGCCGCGGUAAUACGGAGGGCGCAAGCGUUAAUCGGAAUUACUGGGCGUAAAGCGCACGCAGGCGGUUUGUUAAGUCAGAUGUGAAAUCCCCGGGCUCAACCUGGGAACUGCAUCUGAUACUGGCAAGCUUGAGUCUCGUAGAGGGGGGUAGAAUUCCAGGUGUAGCGGUGAAAUGCGUAGAGAUCUGGAGGAAUACCGGUGGCGAAGGCGGCCCCCUGGACGAAGACUGACGCUCAGGUGCGAAAGCGUGGGGAGCAAACAGGAUUAGAUACCCGGGUAGUC
rnacentral:rRNA from 1 species